UUAGAUAUAUGAACAGAUAGAGAUACGGGGAAUACAUCUUAGCGGCGGACGGGUGAGUAACACGUGAGGAACCUGCCUUCAACACUAAGGAAUAACAACGUGAAAACGUUGCUAAUACCUCAUAACACCGCACUGUGGCAUCACAGAGCGGUCAAAGGAGAGAUCCGGUGUAAGAUGGCCUCGCGCCCGAUUAGUUAGUCGGUGGGGUAACGGCCCACCAAGACUACGAUCGGUAGCCGGACUGAGAGGUCGAACGGCCAGUAAGGUUCUGAGAGACGGUCCAGACUCCUACGGGAGGCAGCAGUGGGGAAUAUUGGGCAAUGGGGGAAACCCUGACCCAGCAACGCCGCGUGAAGGAAGAAGGCCUUCGGGUUGUAAACUCUCUUUGAUCAGGGAAGCAUAUGACGGUACCUGAAAAACAAGCCACGGCUAACUACGUGCCAGCAGCCGCGGUAAUACGUAGGUGGCAAGCGUUAUCCGGAUCUACUGGGUGUAAAGGGCGUGUAGGCGGUCUCGCAAGUCGGAUGUGAAAUUCCCGGGCUUAACCCGGGCGCUGCAACCGAAACUGCGGGACUUGAGUGUUGGAGGGGAUAGUGGAAU
rnacentral:rRNA from 1 species